GACGAACGCUGGCGGCGUGCUUAACACAUGCAAGUCGAACGGAAAGGCCCUGCUUUUGUGGGGUGCUCGAGUGGCGAACGGGUGAGUAACACGUGAGUAACCUGCCCUUGACUUUGGGAUAACUUCAGGAAACUGGGGCUAAUACCGGAUAGGAGCUCCUGCUGCAUGGUGGGGGUUGGAAAGUUUCGGCGGUUGGGGAUGGACUCGCGGCUUAUCAGCUUGUUGGUGGGGUAGUGGCUUACCAAGGCUUUGACGGGUAGCCGGCCUGAGAGGGUGACCGGCCACAUUGGGACUGAGAUGCGGCCCAGACGCCUACGGGAGGCAGAAGUGGGGAAUAUUGCACAAUGGGCGGAAGCCUGAUGCAGCAACGCCGCGUGCGGGAUGACGGCCUUCGGGGUGUAAACCGCUUGCGCCUGUGACGAAGCGUGAGUGACGGUAAUGGGUAAAGAAGCACCGGCUAACUACGUG
rnacentral:rRNA from 1 species